rnacentral:rRNA from 1 species
AGAUUAAGUUAUUAAGGGCGCACGGUGGAUGCCUUGGCACUAGAAGCCGAUGAAGGACGUUACUAACGACGAUAUGCUUUGGGGAGCUGUAAGUAAGCUUUGAUCCAGAGAUUUCCGAAUGGGGAAACCCAGCAUGAGUUAUGUCAUGUUAUCGAUAUGUGAAUACAUAGCAUAUCAGAAGGCACACCCGGAGAACUGAAACAUCUUAGUACCCGGAGGAAGAGAAAGAAAAUUCGAUUCCCUUAGUAGCGGCGAGCGAAACGGGAAGAGCCCAAACCAACAAGCUUGCUUGUUGGGGUUGUAGGACACUCUAUACGGAGUUACAAAGGACGACAUUAGACGAAUCAUCUGGAAAGAUGAAU